rnacentral:lncRNA from 1 species
CGCGGCACUCUUGUUUCAUUUGGCGUGGGUUCGUUGUGCCGGCAACAAGUGAUGUGCUAGCAACCCGAUAUGCCUGCAGCCCCGGUCUGCGCUACCGCUCUCUCGAGUCUCGACGACGCGCUGCUCAUCCACAAGACUGUAGGAGAAAGGGGCGUUCUGGGUGCGCGCAAUUGUUCGUGAAGAACACGGCGUCAUAGCAACAUCGGCUGAAGCCAAUGGCGCUUACUUGGCUGGCUGGCGCAGCGACAGAACGGCCGAGUGGGAGAGCUGCACGCGAGGUGCUCGACGAAAUGGCCAGAGGCCCACUCAAGGCGCGUCCCGCUGGCGGUGGUGUACGCCAAACUGAGCAGUCUUUUUUUUUCUUGAGCAUGAAUGUAGCUUUCAGCAAUUUGACGGGUGAAUGUGUUAUUGCAGGAAGGCCAGCUGCGGGAGAGUAGAAUUAUUAACUCCAAGUGAUCCUGAUCCUUGUGAUCCUUUCUGCGAGUACUCUAUAUGCAUGCUCUGUCCAACAAAAUUACUGGAGAAAUUUCAAACUAGCUCACUUUGUCUCUCUGGAUGUUACUGUUGGCAGGUUAUCUCUGACGGAGCCAGCUAGAUUGCGCUGUUAAGCACUAUUACCGUGCUGAUUAAUGGUAAGUUCACAUUUGAACCGUUGAAAAGGUGUGCUUUGUUGCUUUCACCUUACAUUUCUACUUGGGUCGCAUUAUCCUUGAUUUAGUAUUUAUUCAUGGGUUCCAUAUCAAAAUACCAUCCGUAAAACAAUGGUUGAAAAGAGAUGGAAUACAGAAAGAUCGUAUAUUAAGAUUACACAAACAGAUAUACAUACACACUUCAGGAAACUGUGGCACAAAACAGAUAUACAUACACACUUCAGGAAACUGUGGCACAAACAUGUUCAGAGGUGUUUGCACAGCAUGUUCCCCACCUUCCGAGAGAAUAAGGUGCCUGUGAACUACGAAACAAAACAUCGUGUACAUAUUUUGCAUGUAUUGAUGCUUGUGGAGAAGUUAGACAGAUUUGACGACAUAGGACAAAGGUCACAGGGAGCAGGAAUGGAAAGGAAAAACAAUCCUUCCUUUCACACACAUUCAUGGUUAGGCGUCACUUUUUUUUACAGUCAACUAGUUCCUGAACAACAUAAAGAAAACAUUAAACAGGCAUUGUCGGCAUUGAUGUUGCCUUUCCUUUUCCCUUUGAGAACGACAAUGGCUAAUGGAUAACAAAUAUGUCUGCAUUCAUAAUCUUUUGACAGAAACUGGAAAAACUUGUCUGCAUUCUAAUGGGACCAAAUUUUGUUACAAUAAUAUACACCAGUUGCUAUGCUGCAGUUGAACCAUUGGCUAAAAUAAAAUUGAUUUAAGGUUACCUAACUACUGAUGUUGUCAGCAAAGAUUGGGAUAAGUGCUAAGUCAGCUAGGACCAUAUUCUUUAUGGACAUCACUGAUGUGAAACGACAGGGGGCUAAUUCUUUAUGGAUGCUUGUUUGACAGGCUUUCUUCAGUCAUUGUUUUUUUUUCUUCAGUCCUUGUUCUUCCAUGUUGUGCUUAAGUUAAAAGCUCAAGGACUUUCUAACUGAAGUGUGACAUGGCACUGAGUAGUAAGUUGUUUUAACACAGCUGCACAAGGAUACUACAAUAACUUUCUGCAAGCAUUUCGAUGGUUUUAAGUUGUCUUUCCAUUUAAGACGGAAAGCUUCUUUACUUGAACAUAUUGAAAAUUUGGUGGUUCUCAUAGCUUUAUGUGUGAUAUUUCCAUGAGUAUUUUCAUGUUUUGCAAACUUUCUAUCGUUAACGUUUUGCAAAUGUGGCAUCCGCCCGCCUUGGCUCUUUGAAAUAUAAGAUUCUCUUCAGGCAGAGUGGAAAUACUGAGCCCCAAGUACAUAUUGUUGGUGAAAUGGUUAUUGAACAUAGUAACAAUUAGGAUUUGCAAUACUUGGAUUUUUUUUUAAAAAAAUAGCUGGAUUGAAUCAUAGUCAUUCCCAGUUGCAGAUCACUUAGGGAAAAACUGGGUCAACUGGAUUUAACAAAUUGUUAGUGCAUAUUGUACAUUGAUUGGGUCAUAUUAAUCUAAAAGACUCAUACACGCACGACAGAUGCCUUCCAUCUAAUUUAUCACCUUAAUCUGCAGGCAUAUUUGGAUAAGGAAGGUAUAUGCUUUGCCGAUUUUUUGAAUUUUGGAUAAUAACUGAUAUUGACAGCUUGUAAUGAUUUUGCAAUUUUGCAAAACUAACAAAUCGACUUCUCAAUUUUUCACUAGUCAAAUGAGCAUAUAUAGAUACUCUAAUAGAACAACAACAUUUGGCACCGUCGCACAGAUCCACUUCUUCGUCACAAUCAAUCAAACUCCAUGCACAAAUUAAACGAACAUCAAAGUAACUUACAACAGACUACAAGAGUGAUCACAACUCACAAGUAGUCCUUUUUCUUGAGUCAUGUAGAUCGUGCUUUCUCCCUGUCCCUGUAACAAGCAAGCUACCAAGCUGAUCUGCUCAUUACUUAUUGCAACGUCCCACAUUCACAAUAGACAUCACUGUGCACACUGCACACACACAUCUACUGACAAUCGAUUAGCUUGCAGCCACACCAGUGAAUCCUGAAGAAUCAGAUCCGGCGACAACACGAUGAACGCCUGCAGCGGU